ACAAACAUUAUAUUUACUUUAGCGUCCAUCCGAAUGGUGCUGAACGUAUGUACAUGAACUUUAACAAGUCAGUUUAGCAUUAAAAUUUCAACACUCGAGAGAAAGGACUACCUCUCGAUCGUCAAUUUUUCUCCGUAAAAUUUUUGUGAUGAUGGAUUUAAUACAAGUGAUAGUGGGAAGAGAACUUUUCUACGUAAGUCCGAAGGACCUGAUGGAAGCAUCGUUCGCGUCGCCGUGGGCUAAGGCUAUGAUCAAGUAUGAAGGGAGCAGUGGAAAGUUCAAUCUUCCAGAAACGGACCCCAACAUGUUCAAAAUUUUUUUGAAGAUUUUAAGCGACAAACAGCCACCGGAAAUUUCUGCAAGUAUGGAAGAAAUGAUGAGUGUUCUUCUCCAAGCGCAUAUGUGGGAUUUUUCAGAUGUUGUCAAGAAAUGCUGCCAGUUUUUUUCUGCAAAAGUCCAAGACCACUACAAUUUCAUUUUCAACAACACUGCAACGUUGGAUCUUAAAAAUGAUUUGGACGAUGAUGCAUUCUUCCUGCUCAAGUGUUUUAUUGUGGCAGGAAUAUUCGGAAGGAGUUUGAAUGCAAUAACUAUUUGGAAUGGAACUCGCUUACGUGGAUGAGAAUUCUAAUGGAUGAUUAUCUAAAUCUGGAAGAGAUUGUGAUUUUUAAGGCCCUUCAAAGUUGGAAAAAUUUUAAAGAUGUAUCAAUGUGGGAGGUCCGUCGUUUAGUUGCGUUUGUUAGAUUUCCACUAAUCUCAAAAGAAGAUUUCGAGAAAUAUGUUGCAAUCAGUGGAAUUUUGGACGAUUUGCAGGUGGAAAAUUUGAGAAACUAUUAUUUGGAGCGCAACAUAGAUUCUGGUUUCAAUUGCACUCCUAGAAAAUUUAAACUCGGGAUACAUAAUGGAGUAGAAUUCUAAACAUAAAUUUGUGUAUUGUGUAUUAAACAUUUUAACAUGUUAUAACUUUAUUAGAAUGUUAAUUAUUUAUUGUACCUAUUUUAUUACUACUAGUAAUAAAUAAAUUCGCUCGGA